rnacentral:lncRNA from 1 species
CUCACUAAGACAUCGCGUCUUAUGCCUACGUAUCUCAUAUGGGAUGAAAAUCAGAGCAAAACGUAGUUCGACCGCCUAUGGGGUAAGGGUUGUAUUUUGGGUGAACGACGUUACUACGCAAUCUACCGGAUGCUCGACCUUUAGAGACUUACUCGCCUGUAGUAGAAGGAGAUAACGUGUUCUUAGGAGAAGAAAAAUCAAUGAGUUUGGGGUGUUUAGGGAUGCUCAUGCAAAAAGGCAGUC